rnacentral:pre_miRNA from 1 species
AGUGAGAUAGCUAGAUCAAAUUGUGGUUCCAUUCCAAGUUUUCUAAGGAAUCUCCAUACUGCUUUCCAGAGUGGUUGCACUAAUUUGAAGUCCCACCAGCAAU